AAAUGAAUUGACGGGGGCCCGCACAAGCAGUGGAGCAUGUGGUUUAAUUCGAAGCAACGCGAAGAACCUUACCAGGGCUUGACAUCCCGCUGCCGGGCGCAGAGAUGUGCCUUUCCCUUAUGGGACAGCGGAGACAGGUGGUGCAUGGUUGUCGUCAGCUCGUGUCGUGAGAUGUUGGGUUAAGUCCCGCAACGAGCGCAACCCUUGUCCUUAGUUGCCAGCACGUUUUGGGUGGGCACUCUAAGGAGACUGCCGGCGAGAAGUCGGAGGAAGGUGGGGAUGACGUCAAAUCAUCAUGCCCCUUAUGUCCUGGGCUACACACGUGCUACAAUGGCUGGUACAAAGGGUCGCGAACCCGCGAGGGGGAGCCAAUCCCAAAAAGCCAGUCUCAGUUCGGAUUGCAGGCUGCAACUCGCCUGCAUGAAGCCGGAAUUGCUAGUAAUCGCGGAUCAGCAUGCCGCGGUGAAUACGUUCCCGGGCCUUGUACACACCGCCCGU
rnacentral:rRNA from 1 species